AUACGGAGGGUGCAAGCGUUAAUCGGAAUUACUGGGCGUAAAGCGUACGUAGGCGGUUAUUUAAGUCAGAUGUGAAAGCCCCGGGCUUAACUUGGGUACUGCAUUUGAAACUGGGUAACUAGAGUUUAGUAGAGGGGAGUGGAAUUUCAGGUGUAGCGGUGAAAUGCGUAGAGAUCUGAAGGAACACCAGUGGCGAAGGCGACUCCCUGGACUAAAACUGACGCUGAGGUACGAAAGCGUGGGUAGCAAACAGGAUUAGAAACCCCAGUAGUCC
rnacentral:rRNA from 1 species